AUUGAACGCUGGCGGAAUGCUUUACACAUGCAAGUCGAACGGCAGCACGGACUUCGGUCUGGUGGCGAGUGGCGAACGGGUGAGUAAUGUAUCGGAACGUGCCCAGUCGUGGGGGAUAACGUAGUGAAAAUUACGCUAAUACCGCAUACGAUCUAUGGAUGAAAGCGGGGGAUCGCAAGACCUCGCGCGAUUGGAGCGGCCGAUAUCAAGUUAGGUAGUUGGUGGGGUAAAGGCCCACCAAGCCAACGAUCUGUAGCUGGUCUGAGAGGACGACCAGCCACACUGGAACUGAGACACGGUCCAGACUCCUACGGGAGGCAGCAGUGGGGAAUUUUGGACAAUGGGCGAAAGCCUGAUCCAGCCAUUCCGCGUGCAGGAUGAAGGCCCUCGGGUUGUAAACUGCUUUUGUACAGAACGAAAAGGUUUCUACUAAUACUAGGAGCUCAUGACGGUACUGUAAGAAUAAGCACCGGCUAACUACGUGUCAGCCGCCGCCGUAA
rnacentral:rRNA from 1 species